GCUACGGCGGCCUAGUGGUUAGAGCAUCCGCCUCGGAUGCGGGAGGUCGUGGGUUUGAACCCUAUCCCUAGUCA